ensembl:lncRNA
CCCAGGACCAACUGCACAUACACUACCACAUUCAACACUAAAUAUCCCACCAUGUCCAACACCACAUCCAUCACCUCAUACAACACCAGGUCCAACACCACGUGCACCACCACGCCCACCACAAUGUUCAACACCAGGUCCAACACCGCGUGCACCACCACGCCCACCACAAUGUUCAACACCACAUCCAACAUCAGGUCCACCACCACAUCCACCACCACAUCAAACACCUCUUACACCUCUACGUCCAACACCACAUACACCACCAGGUCCACGACCACAUCCAACACCUCAUACACCACCAGGUCCACGACCACAUCCAACACCUCAUACACCACCAGGUCCACGACCACAUCCAACACCUCAUACACCACCAGGUCCACGACCACAUCCAACAACGCAUAUACCACCACAUCCAACACCUCAUACAUCACCACAUCCAACACCACAUUCACCACCAGGUCCACGACCACAUCCAACAACGCAUAUACCACCACAUCCAACACCUCAUACACCACCAGGUCCAACACCACAUCCAACACCACAUACACCACCAGGUCCAACACCACAUCCAACAUCUCAUACACCACCAGGUCCAACACCACAUAAACCACCAGGUCCAACACAAAAUAUACUACCGCGUCCAACACCACAUACACCAUCAGGUCCAACACCACAUACACCACCAGGUCCAACACCUCAUUCACCACCACAUCCAACAGCACAUACACCAGCAUUUACAACACCACGUCCACCACCAUGCCCACCACCAAGUCCACGACCACAUCCAACACCUCAUACACCACCAGGUCCACGACCACAUCCAACAACGCAUAUACCACCACAUCCAACACCACAUUCACCACCAGGUCCAACACCGCAUAUACCACCACAUCCAACACCUCAUACACCACCACAUCCAAGACCACAUAUACCACCACAUCCAACACCACAUUCACCACCAGGUCCAACACCACAUCAAACACCACAUAAACCACCACAUCCAACACCACAUACACCACCACAUCCAACACCACGCCCACCACCAGGUCCAACACCACGUCCCCCACCACGCCCACCACCCUAUUCAACACCACAUCACACACUGGGUCCACCACC